UGAUCCCAGACCAAGUAGUUGAGGAUCUUUUCAAUGAGGAAGAGCCCCCGGGAGGAAAUGUCAACCCAAUUGCCAUCCAAGCAAUUGAGCAAAAUUUAAAUGAUGCAAUUGCUCUACAACCGGUUGCUAAUCUCCAGCAUAACCAGGCCCAAGCAGUGAUCAUUGCGGUACACCAACACAUUAAUGAUCCCCUGCUGCAUGAUGCUGAUCAGCCUGCAGCACCUGAAGCACACCUACCACUUGAUGGAAUUCCAGCUCCACAAGCAAACCAGCCUGCUGCUCCAGUGAUCCCAGACCAAGUAGUUGAGGAUCUUUUCAAUGAGGAAGAACCCCCGGGAGGAAAUGUCAACCCAAUUGCCCUCCAAGCAAUUGAGCAAAAUUUAAAUGAUGCAAUUGCUCUACAACCGGUUGCUAAUCUCCAACAUAACCAGGCCCAAGCAGUGAUCAUUGUGGUACACCAACACAUUAAUG